UACGUAGGGACCGAGCGUUGUCCGGAAUCAUUGGGCGUAAAGAGCGUGUAGGCGGCUUGUUAAGUCUUGCGUGAAAUCUCGGGGCUCAACCCCGAGCGGUCGUGAGAAACUGGCAGGCUAGAGUGCGGGAGAGGAGAGUGGAAUUCCUGGUGUAGCGGUGAAAUGCGCAGAUAUCAGGAAGAACACCCGUGGCGAAGGCGGCUCUCUGGAACGCAACUGACGCUGAGACGCGAAAGCGUGGGAGCAAACAGG
rnacentral:rRNA from 1 species